CAGUCGCCACGGGAAUACGUAGGGUGCAAGCGUUAAUCGGAAUUACUGGGCGUAAAGCGUGCGCAGGCGGUCCGCUAAGACAGAUGUGAAAUCCCCGGGCUUAACCUGGGAACUGCAUUUGUGACUGGCGAGCUAGAGUAUGGCAGAGGGGGGUAGAAUUCCACGUGUAGCAGUGAAAUGCGUAGAGAUGUGGAGGAAUACCGAUGGCGAAGGCAGCCCCCUGGGCCAAUACUGACGCUCAUGCACGAAAGCGUGGGGAGCAAACAGGAUUAGAUACCCCGGUAGUCCCUGUCUCUUAUAC
rnacentral:rRNA from 1 species